rnacentral:rRNA from 1 species
AUUGAACGCUGGCGGCAGGCUUAACACAUGCAAGUCGAGCGGGGUGAUGGUGCUUGCACUAUCACUUAGCGGCGGACGGGUGAGUAAUGCUUAGGAAUCUGCCUAUUAGUGGGGGACAACAUCUCGAAAGGGAUGCUAAUACCGCAUACGUCCUACGGUAGAAAGCAGGGGAUCACUUGUGACCUUGCGCUAAUAGAUGAGCCUAAGUCGGAUUAGCUAGUUGGUGGGGUAAAGGCCUACCAAGGCGACGAUCUGUAGCGGGUCUGAGAGGAUUAUCCGCAACACUGGGACUGAGACACGGCCCAGACUCCUACGGGAGGCAGCAGUGGGGAAUAUUGGACAAUGGGGCGAACCCUGAUCCAGCCAUGCCGCGUGUGUGAAGAAGGCCUUAUGGUUGUAAAGCACUUUAAGCGAGGAGGAGGCUCUUUUGGUUAAUACCCAAGAUGAGUGGACGUUACUCGCAGAAUAAGCACCGGCUAACUCUGUGCCAGCCGCCGCCGUAA